rnacentral:misc_RNA from 1 species
GAGUUCAGGAAAAUCCCAAUACCUAGUCACAGAUACACACCUUUAAAGGAAAAUUGGAUGAAGAUAUUUACACCUAUAGUAGAAAAACUGCAUUUACAGAUCAGAUUCAACCUUAAAACAAGAAAUGUUGAGAUCAAAACCUGUAAAGAUACAAAAGACAUCGGGUCAUUACAGAAAGCUGCUGAUUUUGUUAGAGCAUUUACUCUUGGGUUUGAAGUUGAUGAUGGUUUAGCUUUGGUGAGGCUGGAUGAUCUGUUUUUGGAAUCCUUUGAUGUAACAGAUGUGAAACCAUUGAAAGGUGACCAUUUAUCAAGAGCAAUUGGAAGAAUAGCGGGUAAAAAUGGAAAAACAAAGUUUACGAUAGAAAAUGUCACCAAAACUAGGAUUGUGCUGGCAGAUUCAAAAAUUCACAUACUAGGAUCUUUUUCCAACAUAAAGAUUGCCAGGACGGCAAUUUGUAAUCUCAUAUUAGGAAGUCCGCCAUCAAAAGUGUACGGAAACAUGAGGAGUGUGGCGUCCCGGUCCGCGGAGAGAUUCUGAUCGUUGUUGAUGUUGUUUUAUUACAAAAAAUAAAAAACUUUUGUGUUGCCAGCAAUGUGUAUAUUUCUGUUGAAUUUUUAUUAUCAGGUUUUUAUACAAAAAUCUAUGAUGUAGUCUUACUGUAAAAUUUGAUUCUGAAGUGGAAUUCAAAAUAAUUCUGUAUUUGGUACUUUCCACUUGAUGUAAGUGACAUAUUCAUUGAGAAAAAUGGGCUGUAAUAAUUGGACUGAAGUUACUAAACUGUUAACCAUU